AUACGUAGGGGGCUAGCGUUAUCCGGAAUUACUGGGCGUAAAGGGUGCGAAGGUGGUUUCUUAAGUCAGAAGUGAAAGGCUACGGCUCAACCGUAGUAAGCUUUUGAAACUAAGAGACUUGAGUGCAGGAGAGGAGAGUGGAAUUCCUAGUGUAGCGGUGAAAGGCGUAGAUAUUAGGAGGAAUACCAGUUGCGAAGGCGGCUCUCUGGACUGUAACUGACACUGAGGCACGAAAGCGUGGGGAGCAAACAGGAUUAGAUACCCUGGUAGUCCACGCCGUAAACGAUGAGUACUAGCUGUCGGGGGUUACCCCCCUCGGUGGCGCAGCUAACGCAUUAAGUACUCCGCCUGGGAAGUACGCUCGCAAGAGUGAAACUCAAAUGAAUUGGCGGGG
rnacentral:rRNA from 1 species